GUGAGGAAUUUUCCGCAAUGGGCGAAAGCCUGACGGAGCAAUGCCGCGUGAAGGAUGAAGGCCUAUGGGUUGUAAACUUCUUUUCUCAGAAAAGAAUUAUGACGGUAUCUGAGGAAUAAGCAUCGGCUAACUCUGUGCCAGCAGCCGCGGUAAGACAGAGGAUGCAAGCGUUAUCCGGAAUGAUUGGGCGUAAAGCGUUGGUAGGUUGUUUAAAAAGUAUUCUGUUAAAGAUUAGGGCUUAAGCCUAGAUAGGCAGAAUAGACUUUUAAGCUAGAGUUUGGUAGAGGCAGAGGGAAUUCCCGGUGGAGCGGUGAAAUGCGUAGAUAUCGGGAGGAACACCAAAGGCGAAGGCACUCUGCUGGGCCAAUACUAACACUGAGAGACGAAAGCGAGGGGAGCAAAUGGGAUUAGAUACCCGUGUAGUCC
rnacentral:rRNA from 1 species